AUGCCAGCAGUCAUACAUAACAUUGCUUUUUUCUACAUGCUGACAAAACAAAGCAACUGAUAAGGUAUUUUUUUUACCUAAACUAAUCAGCCACAACUAAUGAUUGUUCAAUUAACUUAAUGACAUCGUCGACCAUAGAUUUCCAGGUCUCUUCAAUAAACAAGAAUGCACCAAGUAAACUGUUAAUAAUGGAAUGGAAAUACAGUAUCAACGUUGUGUGGCUACGGCCAGCAUCGUAAAUCAUCAGAUAUUAUCAUCAGGCUUGUUUCUUGGCGGAUAAUGUACACUAUCCUAAAGUACUUCUCGAAGAAAAUGUCAAAUAAAACUAUGCCU